AGAGUUUGAUCAUGGCUCAGAUUGAACGCUGGCGGCAGGCCUAACACAUGCAAGUCGAGCGGUAGCACAGAGAGCUUGCUCUCGGGUGACGAGCGGCGGACGGGUGAGUAAUGUCUGGGAAACUGCCUGAUGGAGGGGGAUAACUACUGGAAACGGUAGCUAAUACCGCAUAACGUCGCAAGACCAAAGUGGGGGACCUUCGGGCCUCAUGCCAUCAGAUGUGCCCAGAUGGGAUUAGCUGGUAGGUGGGGUAACGGCUCACCUAGGCGACGAUCCCUAGCUGGUCUGAGAGGAUGACCAGCCACACUGGAACUGAGACACGGUCCAGACUCCUACGGGAGGCAGCAGUGGGGAAUAUUGCACAAUGGGCGCAAGCCUGAUGCAGCCAUGCCGCGUGUGUGAAGAAGGCCUUCGGGUUGUAAAGCACUUUCAGCGGGGAGGAAGGCGNNNNNNNNNNNNNNNNNNNNNNNNNNCGAUUGACGUUACCCGCAGAAGAAGCACCGGCUAACUCCGUGCCAGCAGCCGCGGUAAUACGGAGGGUGCAAGCGUUAAUCGGAAUUACUGGGCGUAAAGCGCACGCAGGCGGUCUGUCAAGUCGGAUGUGAAAUCCCCGGGCUCAACCUGGGAACUGCAUUCGAAACUGGCAGGCUAGAGUCUUGUAGAGGGGGGUAGAAUUCCAGGUGUAGCGGUGAAAUGCGUAGAGAUCUGGAGGAAUACCGGUGGCGAAGGCGGCCCCCUGGACAAAGACUGACGCUCAGGUGCGAAAGCGUGGGGAGCAAACAGGAUUAGAUACCCUGGUAGUCCACGCUGUAAACGAUGUCGAUUUGGAGGUUGUGCCCUUGAGGCGUGGCUUCCGGAGCUAACGCGUUAAAUCGACCGCCUGGGGAGUACGGCCGCAAGGUUAAAACUCAAAUGAAUUGACGGGGGCCCGCACAAGCGGUGGAGCAUGUGGUUUAAUUCGAUGCAACGCGAAGAACCUUACCUGGUCUUGACAUCCACAGAACUUUCCAGAGAUGGAUUGGUGCCUUCGGGAACUGUGAGACAGGUGCUGCAUGGCUGUCGUCAGCUCGUGUUGUGAAAUGUUGGGUUAAGUCCCGCAACGAGCGCAACCCUUAUCCUUUGUUGCCAGCGGUCCGGCCGGGAACUCAAAGGAGACUGCCAGUGAUAAACUGGAGGAAGGUGGGGAUGACGUCAAGUCAUCAUGGCCCUUACGACCAGGGCUACACACGUGCUACAAUGGCAUAUACAAAGAGAAGCGACCUCGCGAGAGCAAGCGGACCUCAUAAAGUAUGUCGUAGUCCGGAUUGGAGUCUGCAACUCGACUCCAUGAAGUCGGAAUCGCUAGUAAUCGUAGAUCAGAAUGCUACGGUGAAUACGUUCCCGGGCCUUGUACACACCGCCCGUCACACCAUGGGAGUGGGUUGCAAAAGAAGUAGGUAGCUUAACCUUCGGGAGGGCGCUUACCACUUUGUGAUUCAUGACUGGGGUGAAGUCGUAACAAGGUAACCGUAGGGGAACCUGCGGUUGGAUCACCU
rnacentral:rRNA from 2 species